AAUCAACGCUGGCGGCGCGCUUAACACAUGCAAGUCGAACGAGAAAGCAGGGGCAACCCUGUGAGUAAAGUGGCGUACGGGUGAGUAACACGUGGAUGAUCUACCCUGGAGUGGGGAAUAACGCUGGGAAACCGGCGCUAAUACCGCAUAAUCCCGAGAGGGCAAAGGAAGCAAUUUCGCUUCAGGAGGAGUCCGCGGCCGAUUAGCUUGUUGGCAGGGUAAAAGCCUACCAAGGCAACGAUCGGUAGCCGGCCUGAGAGGGCACACGGCCACACUGGCACUGAAACACGGGCCAGACUCCUACGGGAGGCAGCAGUGGGGAAUCUUGCACAAUGGGGGGCAACCCUGAUGCAGCGACGCCGCGUGAGCGAUGAA
rnacentral:rRNA from 1 species